AUGGGCUUAGAUGAUGGGCCUUAU
rnacentral:siRNA from 1 species